rnacentral:rRNA from 1 species
CCUACGGGAGGCUGCAGUGGGGAAUAUUGGACAAUGGGCGAAAGCCUGAUCCAGCCAUGCCGCGUGUGUGAAGAAGGCCUUCGGGUUGUAAAGCACUUUCAGUGGGGAAGAAAGCCUUGGGGCUAAUACCCUCGAGGAAGGACAUCACCCACAGAAGAAGCACCGGCUAACUCCGUGCCAGCAGCCGCGGUAAUACGGAGGGUGCGAGCGUUAAUCGGAAUUACUGGGCGUAAAGCGCGCGUAGGCGGUCUGAUAAGCCGGUUGUGAAAGCCCCGGGCUCAACCUGGGAACGGCAUCCGGAACUGUCAGGCUAGAGUGCAGGAGAGGAAGGUAGAAUUCCCGGUGUAGCGGUGACAUGCGUAGAGAUCGGGAGGAAUACCAGUGGCGAAGGCGGCCUUCUGGACUGACACUGACGCUGAGGUGCGAAAGCGUGGGUAGCAAACAGGAUUAGAUACCCCGGUAGUC